rnacentral:rRNA from 1 species
GGCCUUCGGGUUGUAAAGCCCUUUUGUUGGGAAAGAAAUCCAGCUGGCUAAUACCCGGUUGGGAUGACGGUACCCAAAGAAUAAGCACCGGCUAACUUCGUGCCAGCAGCCGCGGUAAUACGAAGGGGGCUAGCGUUGCUCGGAAUUACUGGGCGUAAAGGGAGCGUAGGCGGACUGUUAAGUUAGAGGUGAAAGCCCAGGGCUCAACCUUGGAAUUGCCUUUAAUACUGGCAGUCUUGAGUACGGAAGAGGUAUGUGGAACUCCGAGUGUAGAGGUGAAAUUCGU